rnacentral:ncRNA from 1 species
CAAUAGUUUUGAUCCUAGACUUACCGUUGCUUUUUACUAAGAUUAUACAUGCAAGUCUCAGCAUGCCCGUGAAAAUGCCCAAAACCCCUAAAAAGAACCCCUGGAGCAGGCAUCAGGCACCACCCCCUCCGCCCAUAACGCCUUGUCUUACCACACCCCCACGGGAUUUCAGCAGUAAUAAAUAUUGGGCAAUAAGUGAAAACUUGACCCAACUAUAGCAUUAAGGGCUGGUUAAUUUCGUGCCAGCCACCGCGGUUAGACGAAAGGCCCAAGACAACGAACACACGGCGUAAAUUGUGACUAGAAACACUUAACAGGAAAAAAAUUAAACUCAUAGGCUAGUUGUAAAACACUCAGACUAUGAAGGAAACCCACAAUAAUUUUUUCUGCCUUAUGUCUUUGAUCACACGAAAGCCUAGAAACAAACUAGGAUUAGAUACCCUACUAUGCUAGGCCUUUAACAUUGAUAGUAAAAAUACUCUACUAUCCGCCAGAGAACUACAAGUGAAAAACUUUAAACUCAAAGGAUUUGGCGGUGUCCCAUACCUGCCUAGAGGAGCCUGUCCUAUAAUCGAUACCCCCCGUUCCACCCAACCUCAACUAGCACCUCCAGUCUAUAUACCGCCGUCGACAGUCUACCCCAUGAGGGUCCAACAGUAGACACAACAAUUUCCCCACUAACACGUCAGGUCAAGGUGUAGCAUACAUUGAGGAAGAGAUUGGCUACAUUUUUUAUGUUAAAAAACACGAAAUGCAAUAUGAAACCCCGCAUAAAGGUGAAUUUAGUAGUAAGAUAAACAAGAGUGUUUAUCUUAAUUAUGCUCUGGGACGCGCACACACCGCCCGUCACCCUCCUCAAUACACAAUUUUCCCUACAUAAACCAACUUAGCCUACUAGAGGAGGCAAGUCGUAACAUGGUAAGCGUACCGGAAGGUGUGCUUGGAAUAA